rnacentral:rRNA from 1 species
GAUGAACGCUGGCGGCGUGCCUAAUACAUGCAAGUCGAGCGGACGCACGAGAAGCUUGUGCCCCUACUGUUGGCGGGGGGCGGGCGAGUAACAAGUGGAUCAGAUACCUAUAUGACUGGGGUGAUAUCGGGAAAACGGAGCUGAUAAUAGAUCAUACUUUCAACCGGAUGAAGCAGAAGAGAAUGACGCCUUUGGCGACUGAAUUAGACGGAUCCGGACUGGAUUAGCUAGUUGGUAAGGUCACGGCCUACCAAGGAUACGAUGCAUAGCCGACCUGAGAGGGUGAUCGGCCACACUGGAACUGGGACACGGUCCAGACUCCUACGGGAGGCAGCAGUGGGGAAUCUUCCGCAAUGGGCGAAAGCCUGACGCAGCAAUGCCGCGUGAGUGAUGAAGGUCUUCGGGUCGUAAAGCUCUGUUAUUGGGAAAGAACAGAUGCGUGUGUAUCUGUGGACAUCUUGACGGUACCUAAACAGUAAGCAACGGCUAACUACGUG